ensembl:lncRNA
GGGUUUAAGGUUCAGAGGCCAGUCUGAGUGGGUCUUCAGGGAUAUCUGGGAACCCCCCACACCUCUUUUCUUGUAUUUCCUCUAAGCUCGUGCUAUUUAGCUAAUCCUUUGUUGCCAGAGACAGUUUUGGAAAUGCUGGUCAGCAAUAAAGUAAAGAGUGAAGUCGCUCGUCGUGUCCGACUCUUUGCAACCCCAUGGACUGUAACCUACCAGGCUCCUCCGUCCACGGAAUUUUCCAGUUUGUUAGUUCAGUUACACAUUGUACAGGAGGCAGUGAUUCAAGACCAUCCCCAAGAAAAAGAAAUGCAAAAAGACAAAAUGGUUGUCUGAGGAGGCCUUACAAAUAGCUGUGAAAAGAAGAGAAGCGAGAGGCAAAGGAGAAAAGGAAAGAUAUAAGCAUCUGAAUGAAGAGUUCCAAAGAAUAGCAAGGAGAGAUAAGAAAGCCUUCCUCAGUGAUCAAUGCAAAGAAAUAGAGGAAAACAAUAGAGUGGGAAAGACUAGAGGUCUCUUCAAGAAAAUUAGAGAUACCAAG